AAUAAGCGUCAGAAGAAAAGCUCAAGUAGUCCUACAGGAGAGACUUAAAUGCAUUUUAUAAUUCAAAACAAAUACAUAUUCAUUAUCAUAUGUAUUCUAUGGGAAUUAUAGAAAAAAACCUUUAAUUAUGACAAGGGUACCAGCAGGGAAUCCAGAAGAACAUAACUCUAAGAGUCAUCCCACAAGAUGGAGAAGAUACAUCUUUUGUCUAUAACAGGUGGGCCAAUUCCAAGCAGCAGAUGGUGCAUUUCGUUUAUGACAGUUCUCCUGUGGAUCCUGUGGGACAGUGUUGUUCUUCGAAUGUUUCUAUAGCAUCACCAGCAACUCCGUGGGCCUGCCAAUUAACAAUGCUGUUGCAAAAAAUCAUCAAUGAUUCAAAUCAAGCACAAUGGCAGUACAUAGGACAUGGGAAUAUUCAGUGGUACAUUUCUAUACAUAUGACUUACCAAGUCAAGAAUAGUACCAUGAUAGUGAUGGUGGUAAUGACAUAAGGGUUAAUCAGAGAAGGAGGACUGAUCUGAGCCCACCAAACCAGGAAAUUAUUUAAGAAUCUUUUAUGACAAUACAGUUAAAUAGCAAGAAAAGGAUUUUAUUAAACCAGUCAUUUAUUUUUCUCUGUGAGUUUGAAGAGUUGCAGAAAAUGUGAAUUCAUAUUUCUGAAAAUCUGUAGAAAAAGGUACCUCCUCAGUGAACAUCCUUCAGUAUUGUGGAGCCCUCUACUGGGAAGCUCUGUGUAUCAAACUCAGGAAAAAAGUUUUGUUUUCGAAGAUCCACCAAGUUUCAGCUUUUGUACUGGCUGAUCUUGAACUCCUGGCUUCAAGUGAUCCUCCCGCUUUGGCCUCCCAAAGUGUUGAGAUUACAGGGGUGAGCCACCACACCCAGCUUAUAAAUUAUUGAAAAAUGCAAAAUAAUCCUCAGUUGCCAU